GGCAUAGUCGCUUGUUCUCCGCCCGCGGUGGACCAGCUGCGUAACGGUUCACACACUGAUGGCGCCUGGAGGUUUGGCGAAAUACUGACAGGAUGCGACGUCAACGGGAGCGCAGGGCCAAGAUACCCUUUAUAUCAAACCGUCUAUCCUGGAGCAGAAAAAUCCUGUCUUCAUUGCUAUAGCUACAGAUUCAGAAAUGAGCAUGUAACAAAUUCAGGCCAAAGAGAGGCAAUGGAAAUCAGAGAAACACUGUUCCUGAAAGCUUCUGUCACUCAAGAAUCCAUGAAACAUUCAUGAACUUCACAUCAGGACCCCAGUUAUUCCAGCUGUUAAAUGGAGUGGAUCAAAAGGCUGAUUAAAUGUAACGGAUUCCAAAGAAUGGCUGGCACAUAGAUGGAUACCAUUCAAGCCCAAGGAAAACCAAUGCUUCUUUUCAUCUAUGGACUCAAGUCUCAGAAAGCAGAGAAGUGAGUGUACCAAGUGCAACAAACGUUUGAGCAUUGUUCUGCUGCCAAUAUUGAAGACAGCCACUGCUUUGAAGUGUGGGGAGGAGAGCUAGAGCAUAUUUGCCUGCCACAGUUAGUUUUGUGUUUCCAUGGAAUUUGAGCAAAACUGAUGCACUUGUCUCCCAGGAUUAAUCCAUACAAGUCACCUCUAAAAUUAUCUUUUCCCAUUCGUUGACUGAGCAAAAUGGACUUCAAGGACCUAAAGGAGGUUAAAUACCACAAGAUGGAGGAGCUUGAGUCUCUGAAUCAUUGUGUGUGAAGUCAUCUGCCAAUUACAUAAAUUGAAUUCUUGGGAAUUCUUGGUAUGAUAGGACAUGAAAGCUGAGAGAAAACCCUUCUACCUAGGAACUCCGGAGUUUCAACUACCAGAGACUGAAGGCAGGAGAGAAAAACUAAGACAAAUGACUUCAAAGCCUUUCUGAAAUGCCACAGAGGGUCAGGAUUACAAUCUGCCUAUUCUGAUUCUUCUACUAUGGGAAAAAAUCUUUUUCAGAAUUGAUGUAAAGCCUCUGUUAAUACUUUUCCUGUUAACAACCUAACUAUUCAACUGCUGAAUAAAAACCAUUAGGACAACUAAAGAAACUGAGAGAUUUUGGCAAGAAAUAGUCAUUCCAAUAUCAAUGACUACGGAGGAAAUGCAAUUACUUUUCUUUGCUUAAGUUUUCCAGGGCCUUUCUCUGUUGCCCAGGCUGGAGUGCAGUGAGGCAAUCUUGGCUCACCACAAUCUCUCCCUCCUGGAUUCAAGCAAUUCUCCUGCCUCAGCCUCCCGAGUAGCUGGGAUUACAGGCAUGCACCACUACACCCGGAUAAUUUUUGUAUUUUUAGUAGAGAUGGGGUUUUACCAUGUUGGCCAGGCUGGUCUUGAACUCCUGACCUCGUGAUCAGCCUGCCUCGGCCUCCUAAAGUGCUGGGAUUACAUGCAUGAGCCACUGUGCCCUGCCAACUUGUUAAAUUUUUAAUCAUUCUGCUCACCUUUUGCAACCUUACUGACUUUUGUGUCUACCUUAUCUAGCAGUGGCUGAAAUUUCCUUCUAUGAUUAUAGAUUUGUCUGUUAUUUCUUAUAGAUUUCUCAAUAUUGCUUGUAUUAUUAUUUUAAGUUAAUACCAUUAGGCAUAAAAAUUCAAAAUUGUUAUCGCUUACUGAAUAAAUAAAUCUUAAUCUAU
ensembl:lncRNA POT1-AS1 POT1 antisense RNA 1